GACGAACGCUGGCGGCGUGCCCUAUACAUUCAAGUCGAGCGAAGAGGGGACGGGUUAGUAACACGCCGAUAACCCCCUAUAAGACUGGGAUAAUUUUGGGAAACCGGAGCUAAACCGGAUACUUAUAGAUGGAUCCGCGCUGCAUUAGCUAGUUGGUAAGGUAACGGAUUACCAAGGCAACUAUGCAUAGCCGACCUGAGAGGGUGAUCAGCAACACUGUAAGUGAGACACGGUCCAGACUCCUACGGGAGGCAGCAGUGGGGAGUCUUCCGCAAUGGGCGAAAGCCUGACGCAUGAACGCCGCGUGAGUGAUGAAGGUCUUCGGAUCGUGAAACUCUGUUAUUAGGGAAGCGGUACCUAGUCAGAAAGCCACGGCUAUCUACGUGCCAGCAGCCGCGGUAAUAC
rnacentral:rRNA from 1 species